GAAGGUAUAGCUCAGUGGUAGAGCGCAUGCUUAGCAUGCACGAGGUCCUGGGUUCAAUCCCCAGUACCUCCA
rnacentral:tRNA from 1 species